AGUGAACGCUGGCGGCAGGCCUAACACAUGCAAGUCGAACGGCAGCACAGGAGAGCUUGCUCUCUGGGUGGCGAGUGGCGGACGGGUGAGGAAUAUAUCGGAAUCUACCCUUUCGUGGGGGAUAACGUAGGGAAACUUACGCUAAUACCGCAUACGAACUGAGGUUGAAAGCGGCGGGCCGCAAGGCGUCGCGCGGAUGGAUGAGCCGAUAUCCGAUUAGCUAGUUGGCGGGGUAAAGGCCCACCAAAGCGACGAUCGGUAGCUGGUCUGAGAGGAUGGUCAGCCACACUGGAACUGAGACACGGUCCAGACUCCUACGGGAGGCAGCAGUGGGGAAUAUUGGACAAUGGGCGCAAGCCUGAUCCAGCCAUGCCGCGUGUGUGAAGAAGGCCUUCGGGUUGUAAAGCACCUUUGUUGGGAAAGAAAAGCGGUCGGUUAAUACCCGGUCGUUCUGACGGUACCCAAAGAAUAAGCACCGGCUAACUUCGUGCCAGCCGCCGCCGUAA
rnacentral:rRNA from 1 species